GACGAACGCUGGCGGCGUGCUUAACACAUGCCAGUCGAACGGUGAAGCGCCUUCCUUUUUGGUGGGUGUGGAUGAGUGGCGAACGGGUGAGUAACACGUGAGUAACCUGCCCCCUUCUUCUGGAUAACCGCAUGAAAGUGUGGCUAAUACGGGAUAUUCUGGGUCUGUCGCAUGAUGGGUCUGGGAAAGAUAUUGUUUCGGUGGGGGAUGGGCUCGCGGCCUAUCAGCUUGUUGGUGGGGUGAUGGCCUACCAAGGCGGUGACGGGUAGCCGGCCUGAGAGGGUGGACGGUCACACUGGGACUGAGACACGGCCAAGACUCCUACGGGAGGCAGCAGUGGGGAAUAUUGAACAAUGGGCGCAAGCCUGAUGCAGCGACGCCGCGUGAGGGAUGGAGGCCUGCGGGUUGUGAACCUCUUUCGCCAGUGAAGCAGGCCUGCCUCGUUUGUGGGUGGGUUGACGGUAGCUGGAUAAGAAGCGCCGGCUAACUACGUG
rnacentral:rRNA from 1 species